rnacentral:rRNA from 1 species
AUACAGAGGGUGCAAGCGUUAAUCGGAUUUACUGGGCGUAAAGCGCGCGUAGGUGGCUAAUUAAGUCAAAUGUGAAAUCCCCGAGCUUAACUUGGGAAUUGCAUUCGAUACUGGUUAGCUAGAGUAUGGGAGAGGAUGGUAGAAUUCCAGGUGUAGCGGUGAAAUGCGUAGAGAUCUGGAGGAAUACCGAUGGCGAAGGCGGCCAUCUGGCCUAAUACUGACACUGAGGUGCGAAAGCAUGGGGAGCAAACAGGAUUAGAUACCCUGGUAGUCCAUGCCGUAAACGAUGUCUACUAGCCGUUGGGGCCCUUGAGGCUUUAGUGGCGCAGCUAACGCGAUAAGUAGACCGCCUGGGGAGUACGGUCGCAAGACUAAAACUCAAAUGAAUUGACGGGG